AAACCCAGUGUGAUUCGUCACACUAUCAUUAACUGAAUCCAUAGGUUAAUGAGGCGAACCGGGGGAACUGAAACAUCUAAGUACCCCGAGGAAAAGAAAUCAACCGAGAUUCCCCCAGUAGCGGCGAGCGAACGGGGAGGAGCCCAGAGCCUGAAUCAGCAUGUGUGUUAGUGGAAGCGUCUGGAAAGGCGCGCGAUACAGGGUGACAGCCCCGUACACAAAAGCGCAUGUGCUGUGAGCUCGAUGAGUAGGGCGGGACACGUGGUAUCCUGUCUGAAUAUGGGGGGACCAUCCUCCAAGGCUAAAUACUCCUGACUGACCGAUAGUGAACCAGUACCGUGAGGGAAAGGCGAAAAGAACCCCGGCGAGGGGAGUGAAAAAGAACCUGAAACCGU
rnacentral:rRNA from 3 species